rnacentral:rRNA from 1 species
ACAUGCAAGUCGAGCGGCAGCGGGAAGAUAGCUUGCUAUCUUUGCCGGCGAGCGGCGGACGGGUGAGUAAUGCCUAGGGAUCUGCCCAGUCGAGGGGGAUAACAGUUGGAAACGACUGCUAAUACCGCAUACGCCCUACGGGGGAAAGGAGGGGACCUUCGGGCCUUCCGCGAUUGGAUGAACCUAGGUGGGAUUAGCUAGUUGGUGAGGUAAUGGCUCACCAAGGCGACGAUCCCUAGCUGUUCUGAGAGGAUGAUCAGCCACACUGGGACUGAGACACGGCCCAGACUCCUACGGGAGGCAGCAGUGGGGAAUAUUGCACAAUGGGGGAAACCCUGAUGCAGCCAUGCCGCGUGUGUGAAGAAGGCCUUCGGGUUGUAAAGCACUUUCAGUAGGGAGGAAAGGUAGCAGCUUAAUACGCUGUUGCUGUGACGUUACCUACAGAAGAAGGACCGGCUAACUCCGUGCCAGCAGCCGCGGUAAUACGGAGGGUCCGAGCGUUAAUCGGAAUUACUGGGCGUAAAGCGUGCGCAGGCGGUUUGUUAAGCGAGAUGUGAAAGCCCCGGGCUCAACCUGGGAAUUGCAUUUCGAACUGGCGAACUAGAGUCUUGUAGAGGGGGGUAGAAUUCCAGGUGUAGCGGUGAAAUGCGUAGAGAUCUGGAGGAAUACCGGUGGCGAAGGCGGCCCCCUGGACAAAGACUGACGCUCAGGCACGAAAGCGUGGGGAGCAC